rnacentral:rRNA from 1 species
GACGAACGCUGGCGGCACGCCUAACACAUGCAAGUCGAACGGACUUACAAGAGCUUGCUUUUUUAAGUUAGUGGCGGACGGGUGAGUAACACGUGAGCAACCUGCCUCUGAGAGGGGGAUAGCUUCUGGAAACGGAUGGUAAUACCCCAUAAAAUAUAAAUAUCGCCUGAUAGAUAUAUCAAAGAAAUUCGCUCAGAGAUGGGCUCGCGUCUGAUUAGAUAGUUGGUGAGGUAACGGCUCACCAAGUCGACGAUCAGUAGCCGGACUGAGAGGUUGAACGGCCACAUUGGGACUGAGACACGGCCCAGACUCCUACGGGAGGCAGCAGUGGGGAAUAUUGCACAAUGGAGGGAACUCUGAUGCAGCGAUGCCGCGUGGAGGAAGAAGGUUUUCGGAUUGUAAACUCCUUUUAUCAGGGACGAUAAUGACGGUACCUGAAGAAAAAGCUCCGGCUAACUACGUG